UUUCAGAGACACCAGGUGACCUUGUGCAAGGCACCUUGUAGACUGCCUCGCUGACUGGACUCCCCUAAUGAAUGGUGACUGCCUCUAAGUUAUUUGAAAUACCUCUGGGGCCCCCCUGUCCCUGAGUGGCCCAUAGAGUACCAGAUCCACAGUCGGCUGGGGCAGUCAUGGAGAAUGACUCAUUGCUUCCAAGGGCUGCUUGGCCACCCACCCACUACCAACUGCAAGUUGAAGAGCUUUGGGAGUAGUUUGUCCAGAAGGGCCACUGCGCCUAGAAUCUUCUGGGAGGCCGAGCACCCGAAAAGAGGCUGCCAUGCCUGAAGGAGGACGAAGCUGCGCUCAAAAGAGAUUGAGAUGUUCAUACAAUUAAUCAGCUACAUCUUUGUGUUGUGUAUCACGAUGUCUAAUUUCCAGAGGAAAGAUCACUUUCAAACCACAUAAAUGAUGAUGCUUUUGGGAAAAAAGACAGCAAAAAGGAAAACCCAUCUCUCCUCAAUGUAAAGAUUUCACUAUGAACUCACCUAUUGUUUUUAUUUUACGCCCACAGUCUUGAUGCUUAUUAUCUCUGAAAUCAUUUCAGUUUCCAAAAAUUAUUUGAAACACUCCUACAUCUGGGGCUUUUGAUAAACAGUCCAACUUCUACAGACAGAAACAGUUGUACAUUUGUGUGUGUGUGUGUGUGUGCAAACGUGCGACAUGUUUGAGAGACAGAAGGAUGAGUUUAGGGGAGAGGGAGAAAGUGAUGGCACCCUUCUGAGCUACACAGCCUGGACACCUAUGAAGACCUGAGUAGGUUUCACUGUAACACACAACGAAGUCUAUGAGCAUGAGUCUUCCCUCCAUGGAUCUCUCUUUUGAGACUGCAAGAAACUUUAGGGUAAUUUUACUCUGAUGCUAAGAAUAAAAAUCAUGAUGAAUGUUUUGAGCACUUACAAUGUUCCAGGAAAUUUUCUAAGAGCUUUAAUACACGUGAAAUCACAUAUUACUCACAAGUCAAUGAGGUUGAUACUAUUCUUAUCACAUUCUACAGAAGAAAAAAAAAAAGAAUCACAGAGAAGCAGGUUCCCAAUCACUGGCUUAUUAACAAUGAAUUAAAAUUUUGCCUGACAACCAUCAAGA